UCACACUGACCCGCACUCCUCAAAUCAGCAAACCAAGUGCAUUUUGGGCUGCGUUACCCUUCUGUUCUGGAAUAGCUUGUGCGUUCACACACCGGGUCUUGUAUUCAUCCUCAGUGGGUCUCCCAGGCAUCAGUGCAGCUUAACGAGACUCCAGGAACAGGGUUCAAAUGGGUGUCACUGGCUUUCCUCAGCUGGCCAAGAGCGUGGUUAACUAGGGAUCGAAACCUGACAUUGCAAUGGAUUUGCUUAAGCCAAAAUGUUCCAACCAAAGUGGAUUUGUAGGCACCUCAAUCCCUAUGGAGGCACCUAAAUCAAGGUGGUCUGAUUUGCAGAGGUGCUGAGCCCCCACAGGUCCCACUGCAGUCAAUGGGAGAUGGCGGGGCUGAGUAGAAGUGGUCAGAAAAUGGAAGGGGGAUUUGGGGAAAAUUUCUGGGAAAGUUGGAAAAAAGCAGUUUUCCUCUACGUUUUCUGCUGAAAGAAGACACUGAUGGGGAAGAAUUUCAUUGAAUUGAAGCCCCGAUUUUCCACUGAAAACCAGUUUGGCCAGCGAAUUUCUGACCAGCCCGAGUUCUGAAAAUCAGGUCUCUUUUAUUCCUUAGAUUUAGUUGCAUAAAUAUCAGGUUUAAUGUAGGGAUUCAGGUUUGCAAAUGUCGGAAGCACUCUCCACUCGCAUUGGAAUGUAACGCUCUGCAGUUUGCAGGAUACUGCUUCAUAUAUUAGAAUGCAAGAGGAAAAGCCCUUUCGCGGACACCUAGUCUGCAAGAGGUUUAUUCCCACACACAGUGGGACAGGACCUUUACAGCCAGGCACAGCAGGAGAGACUGCUACAGGGGAAAGCAGGCUACCUGCAACAUAACCUUCAGGGAUAAGGAACCAGACAGCUCCGUCGAACGGUGCCAGGAAUUGUUCUGUUAAAAAGCAGCUGGAGGAAAGGUCUCCAGUUAAACCGACACCUAGCCCUUUAUAGUGUGUCUGUGGCAUGCAGCGCAAUUUACAGCCAGGUUCUGUUAGGUGAUUUGCUAGUAAAAUGAAUCAUGCAAAAUUCCCACAGCUAGGGCACUAUUUAUGCUGGUACCCCCAAUGCUACAGUCUAAUCUGCCUGGUCUCUCUGAUCCCACUAGCCUGGCUGACACCUUGUUUUGCCAGGCCAGGGUGGAAGGAGUGACACGCUCCAGUCAGCAUUCCCGGGCAGGGACGCUGGUGAAACAGUUACUGACAGGGAAUCAACAUCAGGAGCAGACAGGGUAAUGAAACGUUACCAUCCAAGCAAAACAAUGAUGUGUUACUUACAGUCCAUGGGAAGUGCCAGUACUGCUCACUGUACCUCCUACCUGCCAUUUCACUGGUGAGGGCCAUGGCGAGGCACAGCCAGAAGUGACAAGGUGAAUGCUAGGCUAUGGAAACAGAUUUACAUAUGAGGCAAGUGCCCGUGGAGUAGCAGGGUGUUAGUAGGUCAGGUACUUAUGGGAUGGAACAAUAGUUACCGUAUGGCAGCAGGGCAUUUACAGGGUAAAUCUCGAUCUGAUAGCUGAGUAUUUACCAAGUGUCGUGGAAGAGCAGGACAAUUACAGGGUUAAUCUCAUGGGAUAGCUGAGUAUUUACCAAGUGUCGUGGAAGAGCGGGACAAUUACAGGGUUAAUCUCAUGGGAUAGCUGGUAUUUACCAGGUGUCAUGGAAUAGCGGGACAAUUACAGGGUUAAUCUCAUGGGAUAGCUGGUAUUUACCAGGUGUCAUGGAAUAGCAGGACAAUUACAGGGUUAAUCUCAUGGGAUAGCUGGUAUUUACCAGGUGUCAUGGAAUAGCGGGACAAUUACAGGGUUAUUCUCAUGGGAUAGCUGGUAUUUACCAGGUGUCGUGGAAGAGCGGGACAAUUACAGGGUUAUUCUCAUGGGAUAGCUGGUAUUUACCAGGUGUCGUGGAAGAGCGGGACAAUUACAGGGUUAAUCUCAUGGGAUAGCUGGUAUUUACCAGGUGUCGUGGAAGAGCGGGACAAUUACAGGGUUAAUCUCAUGGGAUAGCUGGUAUUUACCAGGUGUCGUGGAAGAGCGGGACAAUUACAGGGUUAAUCUCAUGGGAUAGCUGGGUAUUUACCAGGUGUCGUGGAAGAGCGGGACAAUUACAGGGUUAAUCUCAUGGGAUAGCUGGGUAUUUACCAGGUGUCGUGGAAUAGCGGGACAAUUACAGGGUUAAUCUCAUGGGAUAGCUGGGUAUUUACCAGGUGUCGUGGAAGAGCGGGACAAUUACAGGGUUAAUCUCAUGGGAUAGCUGGGUAUUUACCAGGUGUCGUGGAAGAGCGGGACAAUUACAGGGUUAAUCUCAUGGGAUAGCUGGUAUUUACCAGGUGUCAUGGAAUAGCGGGACAAUUACAGGGUUAUUCUCAUGGGAUAGCUGGGUAUUUACCAGGUGUCAUGGAAUAGCGGGACAAUUACAGGGUUAUUCUCAUGGGAUAGCUGGGUAUUUACCAGGUGUCAUGGAAUAGCAGGACAAUUACAGGGUUAAUCUCAUGGGAUAGCUGGUAUUUACCAGGUGUCGUGGAAGAGCGGGACAAUUACAGGGUUAAUCUCAUGGGAUAGCUGGGUAUUUACCAGGUGUCAUGGAAUAGCGGGACAAUUACAGGGUUAAUCUCAUGGGAUAGCUGGGUAUUUACCAGGUGUCGUGGAAGAGCGGGACAAUUACAGGGUUAAUCUCAUGGGAUAGCUGGGUGUUUACUGGCUGUCGUGGAAGAGCUGGGUAUUUCCAGGGGAAGAGGCUCAUCCUGCAGUCUUUACUCAGGUCAAACCCCCAUUGGGCUCACAGGGCGUUGAUCCAGGUAGAGAUGGUCAAACAAUACUCGUCAAAUAAUUUAUUCAGUGAGUUUCACGAAAUCUUUGACUGUAGGGUGGAGAAUGUGAUUCACUCUUCUCCCCGCUCUAGGGCUGAGCGAUGGCUGCAGGGCCUGGCCCCUUGGCCCAGCCUUUGGGGAGGGGUUUACUGCUAUGCAGUGACAGGAUAGCUACAGUACAGUGCAUGGCAACUCCCUGGCUAGAUUGUGCCAGGGAGACACAGGAGGCCUGUUCUGCUACAGGAUGCGGGUAACCCCCACUGUCAUCACUGGAGCUGCUCUGAGCCUGCAGAAGGAGAGGUUGUUCCUAGGUUGAUUUCCAGGCUCACUAGCCAGAACCGUGACCCGAGGAAGCCCAGACACGCUUGCCAGCUAGACUAGGCCCUUAGCUUCUGCAGCACCUGGACAAGCCUCAUUUCCUAGUUAGAUCAUGGGUUUGGCAGUGUCAAGUUGGACAGGUGGGUGGGCUCUUCCCGGGGAAGGGAUGGGCCAGUGACUCACAGCACAUCCUGGAACAAAUGCAUCUGAAGGGGCGUUCCAGAGCAAGGAACCGGGCAGAGAGGAAGCGCUCACCAGUUCGGUGCCUUCCCUGCACUUUUGAGCAUUUGUAUUGGAAACGUAGCUACCAUCCCAGCUGCUGAAUUAACCCAGGGCAGAACGCUAGUAAAGGUUUUGUAGCUCA